rnacentral:lncRNA from 1 species
GGGGUCACAGGAGAGUGACUUCUCUCCCUUCCCAAAGACAGCACCUUCAAUAACCUGGGCCCUGCCUCUUAAAGAUGCCAGCAGCUCAGUACCGGCGCAGUGAGAGCCAAAUAGCCAGCGCAUUAAACCUUGUGAGACAAGCCGAAUCCAUCCCCCAGUAGGGCUUUUGCCACUCACCGAGCUGGAGCUAUCUAUAGGAAGAAUAGUUUUGAAUUUGGAGCUGGUCCUUUUCAACUUAAGACACUGUACUCUAUUUUUACCACCAUUUCUAAUAGCCAGUUAAGAAGAACAGCUAUGAAAGAAUUCCUGUUCCACCUUUGAGGAGAAGAGCCCUCAUGCAUCUCUAGUAAGUAUGAUAUCAGAGCUUCAGGUUAACUACAAAGCUUUUCUCAUGUGACAAUAAAAAAUCUCCACAUCAAAAAAAAAAAAAAAAAUCUCCACAUCUAACUGUGACGAUCGAAUAAGGAUAAGUAUGAUAUCAGAGCUUCAGGUUAACUACAAAG